rnacentral:rRNA from 1 species
AGGAGUCUAUAUCAGUUGCGAGCUUAAGCGUUUACGACGCGGAGGCGAAGCGAAAGCGAGUCUGAACAGGGCGAUAAGUAUCUGGUAUAGCACCCGAAGCGGAGGCGAUCUAGCCAUGACCAGGUUGAAGCAUCGGUAACACGAUGUGGAGGACCGAACCCAUUAACCUUGAGAAGUUACGGGAUGAGUUGUGGUUAGGAGUGAAAGGCUAAUCAAGCCCCGUAAUAGCUGGUUCUCUCCGAAAUAUAUUUAGGUAUAGCGUCAAAUGCUGACAACCGGGGGUAAAGCACUGAAAAGGCUAGGGUCCACACCAGGAUACCGAACCUUAUCAAACUCUGAAUACCGGUUGGAGAAGUUUGGCAGUCAGUCUGUGGGGGAUAAGCUUCAUAGGCGAGAGGGAAACAUCCCAGACCAUCGAAUAAGGUCCCAAAGACAACGCUAAGUGGUAAGAAGGAGGUAAAUUUUCUUAGACAAUGGGGAUGUUGGCUUAGAGGCAGCCAUCAUUUAAAAAGUGCGUAAUAGCUUACCCAUCGAGAGAAUUUGCGCCGAAAAUGAUCGGGACUAAAGUGUUGCACCGAAUUUGUGGAAUUUUGAAUUGGUAGGAGAGCGUUCCAACGACAUUGAAGGCAUCAAGGGAUUGGUGUUGGAGUUUUUGGAAGUGAUAAUCUAGGCAUGAGUAACGAUAAGUAUGGUCAAAAUCCAUACCGCCGUAAGGAUAAGGUUUCCUGGGGAAGGUUCGUCCGCCCAAGGUAAGUCGGGAGCUAAGGCGAGGCCGUAAGGAGUAGUCGAUGCACAGCAGGUUAAUAUUCCUGCACCGGCUCAUAAGUGUUUGACCCGUAUAUUGACAGAAGCAUGGAUGAGAGUGGGGUGAUGAACGUCCCUUUCGCGCAAGCGGAUCUCAAGGCUACGGCUGAGGGAGAUUUUCAGAAGUGAUUCUCGGGAAAAUUUAUACGGUUAAUUUAUGGGUUGCCCGUACCGCAAACCGACACAGGUAUCCGGGAUGAGUAUUCUAAGGCGCGUGAGUUAAAUCUCUCUAAGGAACUCGGCAAAAUUGCCCUGUAUCUUCGGUAGAAAGGGUGCCGCAGCGAUGCGGUCACAGUAAAGAGAUCCAACCGACUGUUUAUCAAAAACACAGGGCUCUGCAAAUUCGAAAGAAGACGUAUAGGGCCUGACACCUGCCCGGUGCUGGAAGGUUAAGAGGAGAUGUCAUCGCAAGAGAAGCAUUGAAUUGAAGCCCCAGUAAACGGCGGCCGUAACUAUAACGGUCCUAAGGUAGCGAAAUUCCUUGUCGGGUAAGUUCCGACCUGCACGAAUCAUGUAACGAGUUGGAUGCUGUCUCGGAGAGAUGCUCAGUGAAAUUGUAGUCGCGGUGAAGAUGCCGCGUACCCGCAGAAGGACGGAAAGACCCUAUGAACCUUUACUAUAACCUGAUAUUGUCAUUUGAUUUUCAAUGCGUAGCAUAGGUGGGAGGCUUUGAAUUAUUACUCCAGGGUGAUAAUGAGCCGCAAUAUGAAAUACCACUCUUUGUCUGUUAGAUGUCUAACCUAUGACCGUAAGCCGGUGUGGGGACAGUGUUAGGGGGUUAGUUUGACUGGGGCGGUCUCCUCCUAAAGUGUAACGGAGGACUGCGAUGGUUCCCUCAGUCCGGUUGGCAAUCGGACGGCGAGGAUAUGGCUAGAAGGGAGCUUAACUGUGAGACCUACAAGUCGAGCAGAUGGGAAACCAGGCCCAAGUGAUCCGGCGGUAGCUCGUGGGAGCGCCGUCGCUUAUGGGACAAAAGGUACUCUAGGGAUAACAGGCUGAUUUCACCCAAGCGUUCAUAGCGACGGUGAAGUUUGGCACC